rnacentral:sRNA from 1 species
UUUAUUAUUACCGCCAUUUCACGAAUGGUGGGGUAGGGACGAUAUUUCCUGUUUUACGAACCCGCCGGUGAGGCGGGUUUU